UCUCCGUAGGUGAACCUGCGGAGGGAUCAUUACUGGGUGAGGGUUUAACCGCCCGACCUCCAACCCCAUGUGAACUGAAACCUGUUGCCUCGGGGGCGACCCUGCCUUUCGGCGCGGCGCCCCCGGAGGCUCAUCAAACACUGCAUCUUUGCGUCGGAGUCUUAAUGAAUUUAAACAAAACUUUUAACAACGGAUCUCUUGGUUCUGGCAUCGAUGAAGAACGCAGC
rnacentral:misc_RNA from 1 species